rnacentral:rRNA from 1 species
GAUGAACGCUGGCGGCGUGCCUAAUACAUGCAAGUCGAGCGAACAGACGAGGAGCUUGCUCCUCUGACGUUAGCGGCGGACGGGUGAGUAACACGUGGAUAACCUACCUAUAAGACUGGGAUAACUUCGGGAAACCGGAGCUAAUACCGGAUAAUAUAUUGAACCGCAUGGUUCAAUAGUGAAAGACGGUUUUGCUGUCACUUAGAGAUGGAUCCGCGCCGCAUUAGCUAGUUGGUAAGGUAACGGCUUACCAAGGCAACGAUGCGUAGCCGACCUGAGAGGGUGGUCGGCCACACUGGAACUGAGACACGGUCCAGACUCCUACGGGAGGCAGCAGUAGGGAAUCUUCCGCCAUGGGCGAAAGCCUGACGGAGCAACGCCGCGUGAGUGAUGAAGGUCUUCGGAUCGUAAAACUCUGUUAUUAGGGAAGAACAAAUGUGUAAGUAACUAUGCACGUCUUGACGGUACCUAAUCAGAAAGCCACGGCUAACUACGUG